rnacentral:lncRNA from 1 species
AAAGGCCCCACUGUCACAGUUAUUAGAUUUCUUCGUUACAUCCCAGCAACCACAAAGAAGUAAGAGUGGAGACUAUUGUCGUGCGUGCUGCUGUCCUGGGGUGCAGCUCUUCUGUGCAUGUCAAGGACAUGUGCCACAUGUUGAUAUGCGUCCCAGGAAUAAAUGCGCAACAUGGGGGAUAGGCUGACAGAGGCAGUAAUGAGCUUUGUAGGAGUUAUUUCGAAGACUAACAGUUAGUGAAGGAAUUUUGCUUAACCGGCCAAGGAGAUAGACGGAGUUGAGAGUUGCCAAGAUCUGCCUGUGCGGAGCUUGUCAGUCACAUUGUUUUCAUCUAAACCUCAUUUGAGGGGAAAAUUGAAUACCUUUGACAGGAAUGAAAGUCGUCUUUACUCCUUUAAUCUUGGAGGGAGGGGGAAAAUGUUAUUUCUGAUGACUAUUAUGGUGCAUUAUAACUAAUUUUGUAUCAACUAUGAUAUGUGAAUGAUUAUGUUACUGUGUCUCUUAAUUUUUACACACUGCAAAAUCAUGAAACAAUAUUUUAAUAGGCAUGUGUAUGUUUUAUAAAUCUAUUUUUAAAAAUGGAGCACAUGAAUCUCCUUGUACUCCUGCUUUGCUGUGGCUCUUCAUGUCACAGUGUGGCUAUCACCUGGUUUUUAUACAUGUGUUUUCAUGGUUGCUGAAAUGUGGAGAAGAGGAAUGGUUACGGGUCAUUUUCACAUAAUAAUAAAGACAAAUAGUUGGAGAUUUAGAAUGGAAAGGGUUUCAUUUUUAAGCAUCAUAAUGAACUCUCAGAGCUGGGAAGGGAGCUUAGUUGGUAGAGCGCCUCCCAUGGUAGCAUGAAGACUUGACCUGACUCCACAGCAUGUACAAAGGGCCCAACAUGGUGCCCUGCACUGCUGCUCUCCGUGCUGGGAAGGCAGUGACAGGCAGGUCCCUGAGGUUCACUGGUCACCCAGCAUAGCCUCAUUGGUGAGUUCCAGGCCAGUGAGAAGAAAGCAGGGAACAACAAUGAAUGUCAUUGGUUCUGGUGUCGAAUCUUUACCCGCUCAGUGUUUGGAGAUGUCUAUCUUGGAAAGCAGUUGUUAAAGGGAGCAUACAAUGUAACAGAUUCCAUAAAGGCUUUUCAGUGUAUACAGUUCUUUCUACAGGCAGUUAUGGCACUGCCUGUUCACCCCUAUUAGCCAAACAACCAGUUUGGUAAUCUCUAAGGCUGUCUCCCCGCAAGUGCUUGAUGAUAGAAAUGAUAGUGGUUUACUUGUAGUUUUAACUACUUUAUUGUGAGAUGCCUCACAUACCAUGUAAUCAUCAUUUAAAUUGUACAUUAAUAAUUAUAGGAUACACAGUUUCUUUUACCUUCAUCAAUUUAUGGAUUUUUAAAAAAUUAUUAUGGGUAAUGCUGCUGAGAACUUUCCUUGGGAGAAGGUCAGAUGUUUUAUAACCCUUGGGUGCACACCAAUAAGAAGAAUUGUUGGAUCAUGUGGCCUUCUUUGUUUUCCAUUUCAGUUGUCUUCAAACAAACAAACCAAAACCAAAAACCAAAAACC